rnacentral:rRNA from 1 species
GAUGAACGCUGGCGGCGUGCCUAAUACAUGCAAGUCGAGCGAACAGACGAGGAGCUUGCUCCUCUGACGUUAGCGGCGGACGGGUGAGUAACACGUGGAUAACCUCCCUAUAAGACUGGGAUAACUUCGGGAAACCGGAGCUAAUACCGGAUAAUAUAUUGAACCGCAUGGUUCAAUAGUGAAAGACGGUUUUGCUGCCACUUAUAGAUGGAUCCGCGCCGCAUUAGCUAGUUGGUAAGGUAACGGCUUACCAAGGCAACGAUGCGUAGCCGACCUGAGAGGGUGAUCGGCCACACUGGAACUGAGACACGGUCCAGACUCCUACGGGAGGCAGCAGUAGGGAAUCUUCCGCAAUGGGCGAAAGCCUGACGGAGCAACGCCGCGUGAGUGAUGAAGGUCUUCGGAUCGUAAAACUCUGUUAUUAGGGAAGAACAAAUGUGUAAGUAACUAUGCACGUCUUGACGGUACCUAAUCAGAAAGCCACGGCUAACUACGUG